rnacentral:lncRNA from 1 species
UUUUUGAGACAGGGUUAUGCUCUGUUGCCCAGGCUGGAGUGCNNNNNNNNNNAGGUACAGCCCAGGUCCAUCACCACAAGGGUCCCUCCAGUUGCCCUUUUAUAACCACAACUUACCUUUGCAGCCCCACCCAAUCUAUUCUCUGUUUCUAAAAUUUUGUUAUAUCAAGAAUGUUACAUAAAUGUAAUUAUUGUAAUUAUACAGUAUGUAACUUUUAUUGACUCUUUUUCAUUCAGCAUAAUCCCUUGAGAUAUAUCCAAACUGUUACAUAUAUCAGUAGUUCCUUCGUUUUUAUUACUGAGUGGUAUUCCAUAAUGUAGAUGUACUACAGUAUUUGGAAUUUUUUUUUUCAUAUUCUGCUUCUGCUUCUAGACUAACUGAAAACUUAAUCAUUAAGACCCAUUUCAAAAGACACCUCUAGUGUGAAGGCCUUCUUCUCACUCCCUUCUCUAGAUUCUCAUGGCAUUUGUUCACACCUCUAUUAUCCAGUCACGUUGGGUGUUAUUUAUCUCUUUAUAUGUUAUCUCUCUUUAUUAAAAUUAUGUGUUCUAUGAGGUCAGGAACCUUGUCUUUCUGUGUGUCUCUUUCUCCUUUGUUCUUGUUUUUGUUUGUUUUGUCUUACCAUUGUUGCCUUUGCACUAAGUAUAGCAGACAUUCAAUAAACAUUUUUUGAGCGAAUGAAUGAAUGGACAUGGCAUUUGAGUAAGGUCUUGAGGUUGGGUGGGAUUUCCACAGAUUGAUGGUGAUGGGGGAGGGAGGCUAAGAGAAAACAGCCUGAGUAGAAGCUGGGAAAGCCCAUAUUUGUAAAUAAGAUUGACAACUAAUAGAGUUAUUCAAGGUGGGCACAGGCAGAGAGCGCUUUAACAAAAAGUUGGAAAGGGUUGAGAACAUGAUAAGAGGUAGUGGAGCACAGGCUUGCAGUAAUGAAGACGGCUAUGGUGGAAAAGGGAUGAAAGGGUAGUUGGUUCUGUCUUCAGUUCACAUCUCUCACUGUUCCACGGCCUCAGCAUCCUCAAUCACUUCCUCAGCUCUAAGGUGUUUCCCUCUCAGGUAUCUUUCUAGUCCUCUUCUUUCUCUUGAAUUCCAGAACCAUGUAAUGAUUGAGGAAAGGACCCUGGGCUGGUAGAGAACUGGGUUCAGGUUUCAACACUGCCACCAAUUAGUCAUGAAACAUUGAGCAAGUCCCUUUAAACACAUGCAUUUAUUAAUACCCCACCUUGUUUCAGAAAGGAUUUAGGAUGUCAGGAAGUUACUUAAUAUCAGGGCUUCAGUUUCCUCACCUCUAAAUGAGAGAUUUCGUCCAGGUGAUCUAAAUUCCUUACAGCUCUAAUGUUUUGUGACCUGUGAUUCCAAUGAUUUGUUGGUCAUCUGCACUUAGAAAUCCUGCUAACACUUAGUAUGUAGAUUAUGAAAAACUAAAAGAAAAAAAUCUGAACCUAUAACCCUGUUCUCCUAAUGUGAUUUCUUUUAAUGGCAUC